GAUGAAUGCUGGCGGCGUGCCUAACACAUGCCAGUCGAGCGGCAGCGAGGGGUGCUUGCCCCCUGUCGGCGAGCGGCGAACGGCUGAGUAACGCGUAGGAAUUUGCUCCAAAGUGAGGAAUAACUGCCCGAAAGGGUAGCUAAUGCCGCAUAUGGUCUUCGGAUUAAAGGAUUUAUCCGCUGUGGGAGAAGCCUGCGUUGGAUUAGGUUGUUGGUAGGGUAAUGGCCUACCAAGCCGACGAUCCAUAGCUGGUCUGAGAGGAUGGUCAGCCAGACUGGAGCUGAGACACGGUCGGGACUCCGACGGGAGGGAGCAGUGGGGGAUCUUACACAAUGGGCGAAAGCAUGAAGGAGCAACGACGCGUGAAGGAUGAAGGCAUUCGGGUUGUAAACUUCUUUAAUGAGUGGAGAAUAUGACGGUAACUCAUGAAUAAGCACCGGCUAACUAAGUG
rnacentral:rRNA from 1 species